CCCGCAUCGCCUCACCAUUUUUUAUUUCAGCUUUCAGCACCGGCCUGACAUGACGGAAGGCCGCGUCGUCCAUAAUUCAGCAGUUCCAUGGUUCCAUCGAAACUAAUUGGAUGGGAGGAAUAUGAUCUGAAGAGCCGCCACUAAUUGUCGGAUCUUAUAACGCUCAUCUUGAAACUGCCCGUCGGAGUUUGUUUCUCGGUGCGCUUUUUCCGGGUUUUCCGCGUCGAUCGAGGGUGCAGCCAGGUAUAUUAUACAUGGCGGGUAAUUUGGAUGCAGGACGCCCUUGGCACGCUAGAGAGAAUCGGAUUCCAGUUGUAAGUCUGGGCAGCGGCGGGGGUGAGCGCAGGAAGAGGGGCAGGCUGCUGUGCCGCAGUACAUAGUGAGAGUGCUACACGUGCGCUCGCGAGGGGCUGGGUCGGUCGUUGACCUCUUUCUCGCAGCUAGCAGCGGCGGUUCCUCAGUCGACGCACGGAUGCCAAACGCGACGCCAGCAACUCGGCUGAGCUCCCCACUUAGGCUUUUCUGAGGGCAUCGACUCCACUCGAAACUCACUUGGACUGAUGAAGUAGGCGCUUACCUGCUGCAUUCACUGGAUUCCGAAAGAAGAAUUUGAAAUUUUGCUCAUUGCCAAGCGUAGGAGGGGGACUAGGGCUCACCCUGAUUCAAAAAGUGGCCAGUCUUUUUCUCUCUCCUAUGAAGGCAGUGAAAAUUC